rnacentral:rRNA from 1 species
GGUUGGGUGCUCGAGUGGCGAACGGGUGAGUAUUACGUGAGUAACCUGCCCUCAACUGUGGGAUAAGCCUGGGAAACUGGGUCUAAUACUGCAUAUUCUUCUUUCACCGCAUGGUGGGGGUUGGAAAGUUUUUUCGGUUGGGGAUGGGCUCGCGGCCUAUCAGCUUGUUGGUGGGGUGAUGGCCUACCAAGGCGGUGACGGGUAGCCGGCCUGAGAGGGUGGUCGGCCACAUUGGGACUGAGAUACGGCCCAGACUCCUACGGGAGGCAGCAGUGGGGGAUAUUGCACAAUGGGCGCAAGCCUGAUGCAGCGACGCCGCGUGAGGGAUGAAGGCUUUCGGGUUGUAAACCUCUUUCGGUACAGAACAAGGCACGUUUUUUGCGUGUGGAGGGUAUGUGCAGAAGAAGCGCCGGCUAACUACGUGCCAGCAGCCGCGGUAAUACGUAGGGCGCGAGCGUUGUCCGGAAUUAUUGGGCGUAAAGGGCUCGUAGGCGGCUUGUUGCGCCUGCUGUGAAAACGCGGGGCUUAACUCCGCGCGUGCAGUGGGUACGGGCAGGCUUGAGUGUGGUAGGGGUGACUGGAAUUCCAGGUGUAGCGGUGGAAUGCGCAGAUAUCUGGAGGAACACCGAUGGCGAAGGCAGGUCACUGGGCCAUUACUGACGCUGAGGAGCGAAAGCGUGGGUAGCGAACAGGAUUAGAUACCCUGGUAGUCCACGCUGUAAACGUUGGGAACUAGGUGUGGGGCCCUUUUCCGGGGUUCUGCGCCGUAGCUAACGCAUUAAGUUCCCCGCCUGGGGAGUACGGCCGCAAGGCUAAAACUCAAAGGAAUUGACGGGGGCCCGCACAAGCGGCGGAGCAUGCGGAUUAAUUCGAUGCAACGCGAAGAACCUUACCAAGGCUUGACAUACACCGGGAGCAUGCAGAGAUGUGUGUGCCUUUUUGGCUGGUGUACAGGUGGUGCAUGGUUGUCGUCAGCUCGUGUCGUGAGAUGUUGGGUUAAGUCCCGCAACGAGCGCAACCCUUGUCUCGUGUUGCCAGCGCGUUAUGGUGGGGACUCACGAGAGACUGCCGGGGUUAACUCGGAGGAAGGUGGGGAUGACGUCAAAUCAUCAUGCCCCUUAUGUCUUGGGCUUCACGCAUGCUACAAUGGCCGGUACAGUGGGUUGCGAUACUGUGAGGUGGAGCGAAUCUCUGAAAGCCGGUCUCAGUUCGGAU